rnacentral:rRNA from 1 species
GUCCACGCCCUAAACGAUGAGUGCUAGAUGUCGGAUUUUCGGAUUCGGUGUCGCAGCUAACGCAUUAAGCACUCCGCCUGGGGAGUACGGUCGCAAGAUUAAAACUCAAAGGAAUUGACGGGGGCCCCGCACAAGCGGUGGAGCAUGUGGUUUAAUUCGAAGCAACGCGCAGAACCUUACCAGCUCUUGACAUUAUACUUGCGGAACAUGGAAACAUGUUUCUCACUUCGGGUGGGGUAUAACAGGUGCUGCAUGGCUGUCGU